rnacentral:rRNA from 1 species
AGUGAACGCUGGCGGUAGGCCUAACACAUGCAAGUCGAACGGCAGCACAGUAAGAGCUUGCUCUUACGGGUGGCGAGUGGCGGACGGGUGAGGAAUACAUCGGAAUCUACUUUUUCGUGGGGGAUAACGUAGGGAAACUUACGCUAAUACCGCAUACGACCUACGGGUGAAAGCAGGGGAUCUUCGGACCUUGCGCGGUUGAAUGAGCCGAUGUCGGAUUAGCUAGUUGGCGGGGUAAAGGCCCACCAAGGCGACGAUCCGUAGCUGGUCUGAGAGGAUGAUCAGCCACACUGGAACUGAGACACGGUCCAGACUCCUACGGGAGGCAGCAGUGGGGAAUAUUGGACAAUGGGCGCAAGCCUGAUCCAGUCAUACCGCGUGGGUGAAGAAGGCCUUCGGGUUGUAAAGCCCUUUUGUUGGGAAAGAAAAGCAGCAGGUUAAUACCCCGCUGUUCUGACGGUACCCAAAGAAUAAGCACCGGCUAACUUCGUG